UUGAACGCUGGCGGUAUGCUUAACACAUGCAAGUCGAACGGAAACGAUACUAGCUUGCUAGUAGGCGUCGAGUGGCGGACGGGUGAGUAACGCGUAGGAAUCUGCCUGAUAGUGGGGGAUAGCCCGAAGAAAUUCGGAUUAAUACCGCAUAAUCUAUUCGUAGUAAAGUGGGGGACUUUCGAGCCUCACGCUAUCAGAUGAGCCUGCGUAAGAUUAGCUAGUUGGUAGGGUAAAAGCCUACCAAGGCAACGAUCUUUAGCUGGUCUGAGAGGAUGAUCAGCCACAUCGGGACUGAGACACGGCCCGAACUCCUACGGGAGGCAGCAGUGGGGAAUAUUGGACAAUGGGGGCAACCCUGAUCCAGCAAUACCGCGUGUGUGAAGAAGGCCUGAGGGUUGUAAAGCACUUUCAAUUGUGAAGAAAAGUUAACGGUUAAUAACCGUUAGCCUUGACGUUAACUUUAGAAGAAGCACCGGCUAACUCCGUGCCAGCAGCCGCGGUAAUACGGAGGGUGCAAGCGUUAAUCGGAAUUACUGGGCGUAAAGCGUACGUAGGCGGUUUAUUAAGUCAGAUGUGAAAGCCCCGGGCUUAACCUGGGAACUGCAUUUGAAACUGGUCAACUAGAGUAUGGUAGAGGAAAGUGGAAUUUCUGGUGUAGCGGGUGAAAUGCGUAGAUAUCAGAAAGGAACAUCAAUGGCGAAGGCAGCUUUCUGGACCAAUACUGACGCUGAGGUACGAAAGCGUGGGUAGCAAACAGGAUUAGAUACCCUGGUAGUCCACGCCGUAAACGAUGAUAACUAGCCGUUGGGGGGAUUUACCCUUUAGUGGCGAAGCUAACGCGUUAAGUUAUCCGCCUGGGGAGUACGGCCGCAAGGUUAAAACUCAAAGGAAUUGACGGGGACCCGCACAAGCGGUGGAGCAUGUGGUUUAAUUCGAUGCAACGCGAAGAACCUUACCUGGUCUUGACAUCCUGCGAACUUUCUAGAAAUAGAUUGGUGCCUUCGGGAACGCAGUGACAGGUGCUGCAUGGCUGUCGUCAGCUCGUGUCGUGAGAUGUUGGGUUAAGUCCCGUAACGAGCGCAACCCCUAUCCUUAUUUGCCAGCACGUCAUGGUGGGAACUAUAAGGAGACUGCCGGUGAUAAACCGGAGGAAGGCGGGGACGACGUCAAGUCAUCAUGGCCCUUACGACCAGGGCUACACACGUGCUACAAUGGGAAGGACAAAGAGCCGCGAAGCCGCGAGGUGUAGCUAAUCUCAGAAACCUUUUCGUAGUCCGGAUUGGAGUCUGCAACUCGACUCCAUGAAGUCGGAAUCGCUAGUAAUCGUAGAUCAGAAUGCUACGGUGAAUACGUUCCCGGGUCUUGUACACACCGCCC
rnacentral:rRNA from 1 species